GAUAGAAUAGUCAACCGUGGGAAAGAGUAAGAUUUAUUAGUUUUUAGGGAAUAAUCCUCAACCCAUAUUUCUAACCCUCAUCUUGUUUACAAUUUCAAUAAACUUGGUGACCCAAAGAAGCAGUCAGAUUGAUAUCUACUGGCCUGAGGCAGGGAGCAGCCAUUUUUGGAAGGAAUCAUCUUCCCAGACUGGGUCUAGCAAAACCCUACUCAACUAUUAUAAAUCAUUCUUUCAGUGUGGCACUGAACAUAUCAAUUAAUGUAGGUAGAACUCUCAUUUUUAUUCUAUUUGAUCAACCUACCCAUGAGCAAUUGAUAUUUUUCCAAUUGUUUAAAUCUGACUUUAUUUGUGUGAAAAGUGUUUUGUAGUUGUGCUCAUAUAAUUCCUUGGUUUGGCUUGGCAAGUAGAUUCCCAGGUAUUUUAUAUUGUCUUAACAUUUUAAAUGGAUUUUUUCUUUUUAUCUCUUGCUGCUGAACUCUGUUGGUAAUAUAUAACAAUGCUGAUGAUUUGUGUAGAUUUAUUUUGUAUGCUGCCACUUUGCUAAAGUUAUUACUUAUUUCAAUAAUUUUUAUUUUAUUUUCCUGGAUUCUCUAAGUAUAUCUUCAUAACAUCUGCAAAGAGUGAUAGUUUAAUUCUCUCUUUGCCUACUUUAAUUCUUUCAGUUUCCUUUUCUUUUCAUUUUAUUGAUAUGAUCAAUUAAAUGGAUAGUUUCCCUAAUAUUAAUACCUGCAUUCCUAGAAUAAAUCCCAACCACAUGAAUUUCUGAGACUAUAAGUUACGGAGUAGUUCCUGAUCUGCACUGGUAGGGAGAGUUUCUGCAUCUGCAGUUUCCUCCAUCAAUGAAAUCACAGGAUGAGACCAAAUGCAUGCAAAUUACUGCUCGUGUUUCUGGGAAGAAGGAAGCUUCAGAAGUCCUUAUAGUCAUUGGACAGAAAAGAAUUGAAUUUUGGGGAGUCAAGAUGGCCAAGUGAGUCAGCAUUUUUUUCUAAAUUUCCCCUUACAACUCUUAUACACCAGGCUAGAAAAUGGAUUAAACUGAAUGCUAAAUGGGAAAGACAAGAAAAAGUCACAGCAAAUCAUUUUUCUAACCAGGGCAGC
rnacentral:lncRNA from 1 species